rnacentral:sRNA from 1 species
AUAAUAAAAUCCCAGGGUAAUUCACCUCAGUUAGUACCUUGUAGUUCAUUACAGCAGCUUAUAAGGCUAAGUAUUUAUUUUCUUCCAAGCUGUACUUUUAUGUUUUUACAGCUUUUUAUAUUUAUGCUAAUAUAACCUAAUAAGUGUUUUUAACUUCCUCAGUUACAUUACUUCGUUCAGAACCAUUUCACAAGUGCAAGAAUGGCUUUGAUUGGACUUGGUGUGAGUCAUCCUGUUCUAAAGCAAGUUGCUGAACAGUUUCUCAACAUGAGGGGUGGGCUUGGUUUAUCUGGUGCAAAGGCCAAAUACCGUGGAGGUGAAAUCCGAGAACAGAAUGGAGACAGUCUUGUCCAUGCUGCUUUUGUAGCAGAAAGUGCUGUUGUGGGAAGUGCAGAGGCAAAUGCAUUUAGUGUUCUCCAGCAUGUCCUCGGUGCUGGGCCACAUGUCAAGAGGGGCGGCAACACCACCAGCCGUCUGCACCAGGCUGUUGCCAAGGCAACUCAGCAGCCAUUUGAUGUUUCUGCAUUUAAUGCCAGUUACUCAGAUUCUGGACUCUUCGGGAUUUAUACUAUCUCCCA